CAAAAGAUCCAUGAUGAUAAAGGGACAAGAAAACUGCAGAUAACUUCUUCCAGCUGGAAAGUCCAGGUAAUUUGCAAACUUGUUCUGUAUUUUACUGGAAAAAUUUUUUUUUUCUGCCUCUACUGACAGAAGUUUGUCAAAAGGCCAAAGUUGUGUUAGAAAGAUAAGCCAUUAAUCACAGCCUAAUAAAUACUAAGAAAAUUAAUCAGUAUGGAUUUGUGGUGGGGGUUUGGCACAGAUGCCACUGCAGCUGGGGAAUAUGGGGAAUUUCAGCAUGCAGGGUAAGAAGCCUGCAGAUGACGAUUCCCUUGUUCCCCUUGGUCAGGUGUCUUGUACUUUUUUGAGUGUCUGUAGUUGCACUGAGACUCACAUAAGGAUGGGCUGCCUUUACAUUUGGCCAUUGUUGGAAUGCAUCAGACUGCAUUGAUAGCAACUACAACUCAAAGCAGUUUUUCUUGACAAAUGCUGAAAAUCUGUGCUAAUUCCUGAAGUUAACAUGCAAAACAAGUGAUACACAAAACUGAAGAAACAGUAGGCUUUUACAGGGAAGAUUAUUCCUUUAUAUUUAGAAAUGGAGGGAAGGUUACACUACACUGCAUACUACUUUUAAUCCAUGAAAUCUUUACAUGCAAAAUUUUAUUUGGAUUGUAAAAAGGAGUUUUCUAAGGGAGGAGGGUUUAACAAAAAAGGAAUAUCUUACCUGUAUGUCUGUGUGGAGCAGCAUUCACAGGAAUUCUCUUUUGCUGUCCCCCCCUGUGGCAGUAUCUAUAAGUAAGGCUGGACUUUGAUUGGGCAAAGGUUGAUUUAAAAGAUUAUUUAUUUAACCAAGAUUCACUGAAUAUGUUCAACACCUUGAUAGGGUGCCUUGUCCUUGCUUGCAGAAGUGCUAAUCACAUGCAUGUCUUGGCAGCUUUGAAUUUUGCUCUGCUUAUAAAAACUUAAGUCAAUGAGGUCAUCCGAGGCAAGCCUGAUCUUUACUCUGGGCAAGAAUCUUCUCCAGCUGUAAAAAAUGUCUUAGCAGAAGCAGGUUCGGAUUGUGGUGGAUUGACCUGGGCCAGCAGCAUUUGACUGCAGAUCAAGAGGUUACUGGUUCAAAUCUAUCUGCCCCAUGUUAGAUGCCAGAUAAAGGACUGUGAUGGGUUAACCUUGGCUGGCAACCAGAUGCCCACUGAGCUGCUUUUACUCCCCUCUUAUACAGAACAGGAGGGAGAAAAUAGGAUGAAAAGGCUUGAAGAAUUCAAGGUCAUCCAGAAGUGGAAGGAUUUCAAGAUCUAUGUCACUGGGGAAGCCAGCAUGAGCUUGAGUGAAACUCGUGUGUGGCAGUAAGCUUCAUGGUGUUUGAGUCCAUAUAGCCAGUGGCAAGAUCCCAAGAAGUUCAGCCAAAGUAUGCAGAAGAUGACUCAGAUCACAGGGUUCCUUGCCAGGCCUGGAGGCAGCAUUUGGUGUUCCAAAUGGCAGCUUUGGCAAUGCUGGUAUCAGAUCACAGUAUGCUGGAAGUCAUUUAGGCAUCUACCACAAAUUACCUGGAAGAAGGAGAGACCGUGAAUUUUAAUUGCCUCAUCAGGCAUCAGCAGGAUCAGUCGUCACAAAUGGAGGCUCACUGGUAUAAAAAUAACAAAGAAGCAAAAUGAGUCUGGGUUUGCAAAGGACAUGGAAGGUUUGCACCACUCCUGAAACUUAAACCUCAAAAGCCACAUCCUCCCUUGCUCUGAAAAUUCAGAAUAUCAAGCAGACAGUGGCCACUCUCAAUGCAGAGCCAAAAUAAAGAACACUGUCCUGACUGCUCUGGGACUCUUUAUUAGGGUGAAUGUAACAGGGCUCAUGCCGUGAAAACCCUGUCUGUGGAGUCUGGGCUGCUUUGCUUAAACAAGAUAGUUUUCCUGAGAUGCUGUAAGAACAACUUAAUUUUAUUGUGCAUGAUGAAUGUCUGGGAUUCACGUUGUGUUUCAUGGCUCACUUCAAGCUUUCAAGGGACUUAUUUCUGGAUUUUCCGGUACUGGUUCUUUGGGAUUAUUCACUUUUCCUUUAGCCCCAUCUACCUCCCGGGCAGAGAAGAAGGAUUUCUUCCUGUCCUAGAACUGAAAUUCUCUCAUAUCUAGUGUCAGUUCUUCCAGGUUUUGCCAUCAUCAAGGCAAUGGACUUCUCAGUGUUGGUGCUCCUUGAAAUGAAGAGAUGGUUUCUUUCCAGCUGUACUUUCCGGGACUUGCCUCCCAUAAGGGGAGGUUUUCCCUUCCUACUAGAGCUCUCUGUGUAAAGAAGAAUUUCCUGGGUUCUCUCAUCUGAAAUGUCUUCUGACAUAUUUAUAGUCUAUCCUCUGUGCUCUUCAAUUUGUUCUGAGAGAACUUGAAGCCCUCAUUCAACUCUGGGCAGUCUGUGCUCAAGUGAGUGAUGCACAGGAAGCAGGAAUGAAGUCAUUGUCAAGCUCCUUGUUUUGCACACAGAAAGCAAAACCAGGCAUGUUUUACCCUAACUGUGGGAUUUUUUUAAAGGCUAUUUUGUCUGUAGUCUUUUAACUGUGUUGUGUCCCUCUCCCCUUUUCCAAGUAUUUACGUAAAUUUGCCUUCUGUGUAAGAGGUUCUCUCCUAGGACUUAAAAUUUGGUACCAAAUGACAAAGGGAAGAUGGUUAUAUCUAUACCUGUUUCUGUGGUUAUGAAAGCUUGUCUGAUGAGCGCUUCUGACCACUGCCAUGUUCUUCAAGCUUGGAUGUGUGUGUAAUGUUUUUGAAUGUCAAAACCGACAUGUAUCUAUCUGCUAAAUAAAUAAGUCAAGUGAUCAUUUAUCUCCUCAUCACUUUGCCAGGUACCUGAUUGUUUAGCAUCUCUGAAGGGCUGCAAUCGCUGCUGCUGUGGGAACCUUUCCAUCAAAGGCAGCCUGAUUUGGGAUUCCUGUUGGAAUGAAGGUGUGUGAUGCAGCUUACAGAACCAGCUGCUUAAAGGGCAUCCUUGAAGCUGAGAAGCAGUAACAAGCAGUCUUGCUAGCUGGGGGAAGGGAAAGAGAGUCAGGAAGAGCAUUGCAUGAUCCUAUGUUUUGGGCUCCACUGAACCAAUUCAGACUGCAGAUAUUUUUAGCAGUGUCCUUCAUCAGGUAGUAUGCUGUACAAUUACACAUCAACAUGAUGUUUCUCAUGUAGGUUGGUGUAGCUAUGUUUCCACCUCCUGGCAACUAAAAGGAAUAGCUGAAAGGAGACUAAAGAGAAUCAUGUUUUUAUUUUGGUGAGGCACUAGAAAAUGAAGUAGGAAGAAGCUCCUCUCUUCAGCUUGAAGAGUUUUUUAACUCUUCAAAGGUCAGUGUUCUAUGCAAGGUAUAAACAUAGAAGCUGUUUCCAAAUAGUUUGCUUGCACCUACUGUGAAAAUCAGUGCUUGAAGUCAAAGGUCAUAAAUACAAGGUGCUUGCAGCAGGACUGAAAGUAAUAAGAUACCAGACAGUCAUUUUAUAUUGAGGGAGGAAGCAUGAGUGUAUAUUGAUGGUAACUGGGCACAAUAACAGCCUUAAUGAAACUCCAAUCUCUAAAAUACCUAUACAUUCUGCCUAUUAGAGAAAACAAUUGUUACAGUGUAAUGGGGAACACAGUCAAGACUUUAGGUAUUCGAUGAGGUAAGUGCCCUUCAUUAACAAGAAAAUGUUAAUUUCCCUAAUUAAAAAUCUCUUUCAGGUGUCAGGAUGACCUCUCCCUGUCUCUCUUUGACAACAAUACAGCCAGAGCUGGGUUUUGUUUCAGGAGCUGAUGACAAACCUAUAGUGCUAUUUCUUGCUCUUUGCCAGUCAAUACCAUCUGCUUAUUUCACAGGAAAGACCAAAAGACCUUUUGGUAGCCACCUCAGAACUGCCUUGAAUGAACAGGAAAAAGAUAAUUUUGAGUAGAUAGUGAAAUACGUGCUUCUAGAACCUAUAAAGAAAUGCAUGGACUGCUAGUCUGAAACUUCCAGAUCAAAAUGUCUUUUUCAGUGAAAACUGAUUUU